CCCGGCGACCGGCGCACGGGUGAGUAACACGUAUGCAACCUGGCCGCCACAGGGGGAUAACCCGCGGAAACGCGGCCUAAUACCCCGUGACGCCACCGGAGGGCAUCCUCCGGUGGCCAAAGGAGCGAUCCGGUGGCGGAUGGGCAUGCGGCGCAUUAGCUAGACGGCGGGGUGACGGCCCACCGUGGCGACGAUGCGUAGGGGUUCUGAGAGGAAGGUCCCCCACAUUGGAACUGAGACACGGUCCAAACUCCUACGGGAGGCAGCAG
rnacentral:rRNA from 1 species